AGCCCAAGGCUGGCACCAGGGAGGUUCCUACUCCCAGCCCCCAUGCCAUGGCUGAGAUGGAUUUCACUGACGAGCUCAUUACACAUCAUGGCUGGGGGGAGCAGAAACCAGAAUCCAAGGCUGCUCCCUUCCACACUCCCACAGUAAUUGUGCUGUGAAUAAAUGGGUGGCAAAAGGUUUAAACUCUUGAAUUCUUCCUGCUCCCUGCACCCUCACAGCUGGGGGAGAAGAGAUCUGGGAACACACUCUGCACUCUCUGUGCAUUGGUUGCAGCAUCUCUGGUGCUGUGGAAGUCCACAUCUGUGAUCUUUCAGCAAAUUCUCUCUGUGACACAUGGCGGCACGAGGGAUGCCCAAGUGAUGUAAGUCUCAUGGGCAGCAUGAACAUAUAUGAAGACAAAGAUAUAAAACUCUUAGAGAGUGUCCAAAGGAGGGCAAAGAAGAUGGUGGAGGGCCUGCAGAGGAAGCUGUAUGAGCAGCUGCUGUGGUCACUUGGUCUGUUCAGCCUGGGGAAGAGGAGACUGAGGACAGACCUCAUUGCAGUUACACCUUCAUCAUGGGGGGAGGAGGAGGGGCACGCAAUGAUCUCUCCUCUCUGGUGACCAGUGACAGGACCUGGGGAAACAGCACAAAGCUGAGUCAGGGAAGGUUUAAUCUCAGUAUUAGGAAAAGGUUUUUCACACAGAAGGUGGUUGGGCACCCCAGGGAAGGGAUCAUAGCGCCAAACCUGACAGAGUUCAAGAAAUAUUUGGACAACACUCUCAGGCGCAUGGUGCGAUUUUUUGGGACUGUUCUGUGCAGGGCCAAAAGCUGGACUUCAAUGUUCCUUGUGGGUCCUUUCCAACUCAGGAUAUUCUAUGAUUCUAUGAUUAGCAUUAACUAGCUGCCACUGUAGAGCAAGCAUGGAAACCAAGGGUAGGAAUUGUCCCUAAUACUGGUUCCAUUUCAUUGUUACCUCUUGGUGUCACACUAACUUCUGAAAAUAAAUCUAUUUUGCAUUCAGGAGUAGACGUUAGUUGCAGGAUGCAGCCUAUACAAUUUAAAAUAAAUAAUAAUAUCAUGUCCACUGCAGCACAAUGCCAUCAGUCUCCAGUUUCAUCCUCAUUCUGUAACACAGCAAAGGUGUUAUCGUCCAUGUGAAUGACAGACAAGGAUACACAACUUUUCUGAGGAGUCCUAAGGGUCAAAUACUGACAUGACUAAGCAGGAAGCAAAUUGUGGAUGAAUAAUACCUUAUGAAAUGUACUACUUGGUUUCCUAAUAAGAACCUAGAACUGUUAGCAUCCAUAAUUGUAUUUGUGUUUAUGUUACUCCAGACAUCACAGAAAUAGCACUGAAUAUAUGCUAAUUUUUUUCUUAGACAGCUACUGUAAGUCAUUCAAAGAUUAGUUCCCCUUUUCAGCGGGGGAAACAUUUCUUCUCACCUUUCCCAGAUUUUUGGAUGUUGCUGAAAUCUCAUGCACAGAGUCCUUAAAUCAUUGCCUGUUCUCUGCUCUUCGAGGAUGACUUCGGCAGAAUGGUGCCUUGAUUUUAUUGGUUCCAGAGUCUUUCUUUCCCAUUUUCAUCUGCAACAUUUAAAAACACUCAGCACCACAUGGAAGCUAGGGGCCUGAUAGUACAAAUAUUUCACACUAAUAUCCAUUUGUUGAACUUACUUUUAUGCACAAGUCCUGAGAAAUUCUGUCUUACAGAUUUAAAAGGAUUUAGGAACUUGUCUACUGCCUGGGGCAAUAACCAGACUUUCUUAUAGGACAUACCAAGCUUUUGUGCAUUGCAGACACUGCAGAUACUUUUGUGCAUUGCAGAUACUGUGGUUCCCAUGUGUUUGGGAGAUGAACACUCAAUACUACAGAAGUGAUAGUUCAUGGGGUAAAAAACAGUGAUUUAGAGAAGGUGUUUAUAUCAGAACCGAUGUUACUCACACUAUGUCAGUUCCUUUUUGAAGAUGACAUGUCAUUUUGUCUUAAAAAAAAAAAAAAAAAAAAAAAAACAACCCAAACUCCAA